CCCUUAGAUGUUCUGGGCCGCACGCGCGCUACACUGACGGAUUCAACGAGCUUACAACCUUGGCCGAAAGGUCUGGGUAAUCUCCAAAAUCCGUCGUGAUGGGGAUAGAUUAUUGCAAUUAUUAAUCUUCAACGAGGAAUGCCCAGUAAGCGCAAGUCAUCAGCUUGCGUUGAUUACGUCCCUGCCCUUUGUACACACCGCCCGUCGCUCCUACCGAUUGAAUGGUCCGGUGAAGCGUUUGGACUAUGGUUUUCUGAUGGUCCGCCGUUGGAUUACCGUGGGAAGUUCGUUAAACCUUAUCAUUUAGAGGAAGGAGAAGUCGUAACA
rnacentral:rRNA from 1 species